AUUGCAGGUACCGGUAUGGCGAAACAAGAUGAUGACCUGUCUCUAUAUGAAUAAACAUAUCCUAUGUGUGCUGGUUUCCUAGUUGUACUUUAAAUUAAGUGUUCUAGUAUCUCAAGAGUGUGUUGUAAGAGUUGAACUCUUUAAACUCAUGAUGUAUUAAUUAAACAGGUCUAAGUGAACUUUUAGUUGGCUUUGGUUCCAUCAUACUCUCGUUGUAAUAUUUUAAUUUAUUUUAAAUUCUAUUCACACUCUAAUUCGAUUAUCAUUCUUAUUUUCGAAUUUGGGGUGUGACAAGUUGGUAUCAGAGCCCUAGGUUCGAAGAGGAAUAGAAUUAAUUAAGUGUCUUAGAAGGGGUAGAUGGAACUUAGGGUAAGACUUACUAGACAUCCUAAGUUGUUUAUGUUAAGUUUAAUCAAGUAAAUUAUCUCUUGAAGUCAUGUAUACUUCUUGAUUUAAUUGGACACUAAUCUAACCCAAUUUUUACAGCAAGUAGAUGGAUCCUGU
rnacentral:lncRNA from 1 species